AGUCUGCAACCCGACUACAUGAAGCCGGAAUCGCUAGUAAUCGCAGAUCAGCAUGCUGCGGUGAAUACGUUCCCGGGUCUUGUACACACCGCCCGUCACACCAUGGGAGUCGGAAAUGCCCGAAGUCGGUGACCCAACCGGAAGGAGGGAGCCGCCGAAGGCAGGUCUGAUAACUGGGGUGAAGUCGUAACAAGGUAAC
rnacentral:rRNA from 1 species